CAUUGCAGUGGUACGUUCCGUUGUGACGUCGUCAGUAUGCAGUUCCUCAGUGAGACCGCUAGAGGUCACCCAAGACCUGUGAUUAAAAACACAGUCUAUGGUAACAUUUGGGUUUGUGCUGGGCAGUUUACCUCCCAGUUGCUAAUAUGUGAGAAUUAUAGUUUACUCUCCUCAGAGAGCAAAACGGCCUCUGCUCUCAGGUGCAGGAUGUUUGGUGACCAAUCGUCCCUUGGCACAUGUGCACAUAACAGAUUGGGGGAUCCAUCUGUCCUUCAGUAAGAGAAGGGCAUCUCUCACUCUCACUCUCAGGAUGUGACACUGUGGGUCCCAGUAGGUUUUCAGUGAGUCACUUGUUUUUUUCCCCUCCUGCACUGUGUAUGUGCACGCUCAACUAGGGAUGUGUAGAACGCUUGUGUGUGUUUCCUUCCCCGUUAGAGGACUAUCGCUGAGUCAUCAAUUUGUUUAACUGUUCAGGGGUCCCUCUGAUAUGUUUAUAUAGCUUUUUUGAGUUGUGGAUUUCCCUCUCUUCUAAAGACACCCACAGCACAGCCCAUUAACAGGUUUUUAAUUAGCUUGUUUUGGUAAUGAGGAAGGGAGGGAUUUGUGUGCUGGGUGACUGAUCAUUUAAACAAUGCCAUACAGUGUCCCUGUGGGGAGCAGCAUGAUGUAGAGGAAAACCAGAGCCUACACAGGAUGACUUUUGGCUUAAUGUCUCUCUGAUUCACUCUUUUUUUGUAAUGUCACCUCUUUUUGCAUUUUCUUUUUGUGUGUGUGUGUGUCUUACCUUUGUGUCUUCCUUGUUUUUUUUUGUCUAUUUAAAAGUAAUAUUGCCUUGAAGGACCAUUUGCCCAGACUUGAGCAACACAUGCUCUAAACCCUUUGAACACUGUCUCAACUCCUCCUUAAAAUCAGUUAGAUUUAUGUUACUGUAGACUGCGGCAAAAAGAGCAUGGGUGAGAUAUUGUCCGUGAAUUACUUGUUUUAUGGGUCCCGGGAGUAUCAUACACAACAGUCUGUGCAGCUAAACAGAAUAUUCCAUGAAAGCUUUCUUUCUUUUUGGGCUGCUUGAGGGAACGUCUGCGUUUCUGACUGCCAGGGAGAACAACAGCAGCCUUUCUGAUACACUGGACCACAGACAACCCCAGAGAGCCCAGUCCUCUGUCACCAGUGUGCAGACAAGAACAAAGUGGGUCUAAAUUUAGGCCCUGAUGUGGCUUUGUGGACACAGAGUCCGAGACCCCCCCUCUAUCCUCUCCCAAACGCAACUCCACAAUCCUCAUCAAUCAUACAUCCAACAAAGAGAAUUCUAACACAACCAAGGCCAUGACUGUUCUUUCUUUCUCCCCCUCAAGCCCAACUUCCUCCUUCUCGAUGUAACUCACUUUUGAGCUCGCUAUUUCUUGUUAAAAAAUAAGAUGAUUGCAGUAAACUCCUCUGUGGAGGUAGGAGUGUAUUGCUGCCAGCAGGCUGUAGACGGUUGGUCACACUCUGCUGAGCUCAUUGAACAGCCCGUGGUUCCAUCUAUCUCUGUGGCCUCAUUUGUGGUGGUCCAGUGCAAGGUGACAGGUUACAGCUUACAUAUCGACUCAGCCCUGAGCUGCCAUGUCACCACAAUGUGCUGUGCAUUAACAAGGGUGUAUUUUUUACCCUCUUCAUAGUCAAUCUCUGAGAUUUAUAGAGUGAGAAGAGUUGAUUUCAAGAGCAUACAUAUUCACCAUAGUGCAUUUUUAACUGUCAUGGCUGCCAGGAGAAGCAGGUUAUAAAUAGAAAGAAAGCAUCACUCAGGGUGCCACAUUUUCUGUAUAGAUACAGACAUUGGCUGUUAUUCCACGCAGCUGUUAAAGCCACAUUACCAUUUUGAAUUCCCCACAGAUGUAAACUCCAUCUUUAGCUCAAGGAGGUAAUAUACACAUCGAUACACUCACAAUAGACAUGCACACACGUACACACACAUAAAAACAGAUGUGGAGAGAAUUCCCCUUGGCAGCAGAAGCCUUUGAGUCAUCAUCUGGGAUUCCCUUCCUCUCACUUCCAAAUAUGGGUGGGAUUGUGAGAAAGAGGGAGGCAGAGUGUGGAAGCAGAGUGGAACCCCCUCGUGAUGUCAGAGCUGUGGAACAGUGAGGCUCACGCUGACUGGAAAUCCACAGGAAGGAAUGUCGGGAAUGCAAGGAUCACCGAAACGCUUUUUCCUCCUCACGUACGUUUGUAAAGUCUGGGUUGUAGCACUCAUGCCUCAUGUGCACCCACACACAUUCACACACACACACACACACACACACACACACACACACACACACACACACACACAUAUAAUGUUUUUCGCUGGUCCUCUCACUGGGGAGAUAUUCCUUCCCGUAAAGACUUCUUCCUCUUCACCCCCACUCACCCCGCAAGAUGGUGACUCCUUAUUCCCAGCAUCAGCUGCUCUGUGUGAGGCCUCUGGAUCAAUGUGGUAUUUCCCUUCGCCCUGAGUGAGAAUGGUGUGAGGCCGGGCUUGUGCUCAAUGAAGCCCUUUAUGUUUUGAAAUCAUGCAAAUUUGUUACUUUUUUGUAAUAAUCACAAAAUUGAUUUGCUGCAGUACUUUAGUUAAGUAUGCUUUUCGCUACAUUUCAAACUUUUUACUUCACUACAUUUAUCUGAAGGUUAGUUUGCUUGCAGAACAAAUUCAAACAUAAAAUCAGCUUAGAAAGAUUUAAGUUGAAACCACCCAACCAGGGCUCUGACAACAUGCUAGAUGUCCCUUGGGGCAUAAAUGAACUGUGGGCCGCUAUUGGCGUCCUUGUUCUUCCCACUCACACACCUGUUGUCUUGAAGAACCCAUCGGGUACAGUAAUUUACCACACACUACUCCCAUAUUUGAAUACUACCUGCCCCAGGUUUGCUGUGUGUCAAUUAGUUUGUGGUAAUUUCACACAAAUAUAUUUAUAAAGUCAAAAGGUGUUACAUUUUGACACAAAACAAACCCUCAAGAAUAGCCAAAAACACACAAGCCUUUUUAAAGGAGGACUAUAUAACAUUUGUUGAGCAGCAGCGACAGUGGCCUCGUUACUGGACGCAGGCACAUUAAAAUGUGUUGGGCGCUGAGUCAGAGCGGUGAAGGGGUACUGGAAACAAGAAGAAAGCAAAAUAUCUUCAACUGAGGUUAAAAGAACAAAAACAUCUGAAUCCACAGCAGUUUUGUGCUAAAAUUUAGUCUCAAGGAAUUAACUUUACUCCGACUGAGUGAAGCGGCUGGGAAGGGUCAGCAGGAUUGGCAACUCAAGCCCUGGUAAUAGGCAGUUAGUGAGUUACCCAACAUGUGAAUAUGUUCCACUAAUGUUACAGUCAUCUUCACACACUGUGGAAAAUACAGUCUGGUGGCUGUCAGUAUGUAGCUCAGCUCUGUUGAUGACCAGCAGGUCGUCUGGAACUUAGCUCUGCUGAUUAUAAGCCAGCUUACAUAUCAACGAGAUAAUGAGCUAAAGAGCAACUGUACCAGUGAAUUACAUGAUUCAUUGAAGGGGCUGAUAAAUGAGAUAAAGCAAUUACGAUGCACAUGGCAAUAAAUGUGGGUAUUAGGUUAUUAGAGAUAAAGUUACGAGAAAAACAAACCUGGCCAUUGUAGUUGGUGUAACGUUAGUUUACUUUGUGACAUUCUCCCUCCUAACUUUAAAUUAUAGCCACAAAAAUGACAGAAAACACAGAAAACAAUAAGCACAGGAUUGUUGCAAAUCUAAAAAGUGAUUGUGCCAAACCAUUUUAGAAAAAGUGGGAUUUAGCAGCCAAAAUCAUCAGUACAUCAUUUGUAUUGCUUGGAAAUUUACCUUUUGUUUUUCAUGUGAAAGAAGAGAAAGAAGAAUGUAGUUGUCUGUACAUUUAAAAGUUCAGAGUCUUGCUUGUUUCUUUGUCCUCGAUCAGAACUAGUUAAUACUACAUCCUGUCCAAACCAGGUGGCAACCUCUGGGGCAGAAAAAUGAAGCCAACACGGAAGUGCCAAAAACUGCAGUACCUCCAAUGGCCACUUGAAGCUGGCUCCAAAGGCGAGUAUAUCCCCAUGGUGUUGAAUAAACAUGUUUACAGCCUGUUACAAAAAACGGUUUUAGUCUCUAUAGCUAAUUUCCCCCUUCAUGAAAACUGUAAGGGGGUGAUUUUUUUUUUAUAUAUAACUCACGCAUUUAAAUUUUAUUCAGGCUUAAAGUUAUGCAUAAUUGGGGGCGUGGCCGCUUCAAAUGUCAGGUGGGUGUCGUCACAGUGCUCGAGCUGUAUCCUCGGCGUCACGUCAGCUAACUCUGCGCAACACCGCACGGCCGUAUUUGUGCCUUUUGGAAGAUUUUUAUGGCUUUCUGUCGGAUAAUUGACCGACAGAACGUGAGGUAGUCUGUAUUCUUCCCUUGUAUUCUGAGCCCUCUCACACUCCAUGAUCUGAGAGUCAUUACUGGAACGGAAAAGCAGAUGCUGGAUGAGAGCAGAGGGCAGACCGAAAGGCAGACACAUGAAGGUGUUCAUGUUGAGGGAGGCUAAGCGACUACACAGCAGUGACAGGCUCCCCCCUGGUCUCUGUGCCCAGUGCCUGACCUUAGUAAAUACGUGGCUAAUUUGAAGCAUGUGGCGGCAAAUUGGAAACACUAAGCUUUUAAAACUGUGGACUUUUCUUUUGCACAUGCUAAUUCCUCCCAGGAGAUCCCAUCAGAUGAAAUGACCCAAAACAUGUCAAUGUUAGGGUGACAUUUGGGCCUACAGGGUGAAGGGGGGUGGGUGAAGAAGAAGGGGGUUUGAAGGGUGGACAAAGAGCGGCUGAAGGGCAGAAGAGUGAGUUAAACAGGGUGUGUUUAAAAGGGGGAAAUUCAUUCAAGUUAUCCCUUAAUAAAACACCACUGCUGCUCUCCUCCCUCUUUUAUUGUCUCUCUCUUUAUCUGUCACACACACACACACACACACACACACACACACACACACACACACACACACACACACACACACACACACACACCUCCCACGCACAGGUGGAAAUUCUUAGUGCUCUACCUCCUGUUCAAGGGAGAGCUGCAUGUUCCAUAUAGGACAACAGGUGCACACAAGGCAGGAGUGCACAUGCACUUGUGCGUGUGUGUGUGUCUGUGUGUGUGUGUGCUUGCACGCGCUCAUGUUCAAUCUACGAUUCUUUAUUUUGAGAAGUGCAGAGAAAGAGAGAGAGUGUGAGCUUUUGGGCAGGGUCCACAUCUCACUCUGGGUGGACUCCUUACCCAGCCCCCUCAAUACUGCAAAAAAUGUCCGGCCAAUUUAGGUUAUGUCCACACUAAUACUUUUUCCUUUUAAAACAGUGAUUUAACAAUGAAAACAAUGUUUGUCCAGAUGACCAUUUUAUCCCCGUAUCAGAAAUAAUAUCCAUCCAUACUAACACACCUGAAAGUGCUUGUCACAUGACUAAUGUACACUGGGAAUACACCUGCUGGUGUAAACAGGAAGCAGAUUUGUCUACUCUGCAGUUGUUAGUUAGUUGCAGGAAAUAUUACCAACGAGGAACAGCAAAGGCAAUUGUAACCUUAAAAUGCAAAAUUUAACUGCAUGAGCAAAGACAAUAAGGUCAGCAACACAUGUAA